AAUCAACAUAAUUCAUUCUUAAUUUUUUAACAAAUUUUCAUUACUUUAUAGCCUUUCAUGAUAGAAAAGAGAUAUUGUAUUUUAUAUUAGGGUCGGGGUUUGAACCCGAAAUCCCCCUCUCUUUUGUGACAAACCUAAAAUCUCUCACUUAUUGACCUCGAGAGGUGAAUUUCUUGCCAUUAGGCUACAUGAUAAAUUAAAAAAAAAGUGAAAAUCACAAAAUAAGAAUAAUAUUAUUUGUGACACCCUAAGUGUAACAUCUCAAACAACUUUCAGGAUAAGCGACUGACCCCACAAACCAACACGAGUCUUUCCAGCGUGCUUUGUCCUCACUCGCACGCUUUCCGGGAAAACUUCCCAUAAGGUCACCCAUCCAAAGACUACUCCAAAUCAAGCACGCUUAACUGUGGAGUUCUUAUCGAAUGAGCUACCGAAAAGAAGAUGGAUCUUGUUGGUAUAGGUAGUACCCAUCAAUCCUUAUAAGCCUUCCUUCCACCAUGCAGUCUCAAACCCGCACAGCCUCAGGAUCCCUCUCAUUCCGAUGUGAUUCGUUUUUUGCCUAGAAGCUGCCAGGAGCCGCUAAUUGUCAUGCCUCAUGCACCGACAACCACUCCCCGCCCUCGUCAGACCCGGGCGUUACACUGCUCUGAUACCAUUUGUAACAUCCCAAACUACUUUCAGGAUAACCGACUGACCCCACAAACCAACACGAGUCUUUCCAGCGUGCUUUGUCCUCACUCGCACGCUUUCCGGGAAAACUUCCCAGAAGGUCACCCAUCCAAAGACUACUCCAAGUCAAACACGCUUAACUGUGGAGUUCUUAUCGAAUGAGCUACCGAAAAGAAGAUGCAUCUUGUAGGUAUAGGUAGUACCCAUCAAUCCUUAUAAGUCUUCCUUCCACCAUGCAAUCUCAAACCCGCACAGCCUCAGGAUCCCUCUCAUUUCGAUGUGAUUCGUUUUUUGCCUAGAAGCUGCCAGGAGCCGCUAAUUGUCAUGUCUCAUGCACCGACAACCACUCCCCGCCCUCGUCAGACCCGGGCGUUACACUAAGCUAGCCCCAUAAAUAUAUAAAUGAAGGUGAGCGGAGGAAACACAACAAAGUGGAGGGUGAGGGUUGAAUAGUGCUGAUCGAUUUUAAAAUCUUUGAUUUCUUUCUUUUUUAAAAUAAUGAAAUUUAGUUCUUUAUCAGGAGGGAGGGAGAAGGGAGGAGUUGAAUUGUGUUGAUCGAUUUUAAAAUGUUUUCUUUCUUAAAAUGAAUAGAAAAAGAAGUUUAAGUUCCUUUUCAAAAUAUAUAACUAAAAUCAACAUAUUGAAGAUGAGGAUAAACCAUAAAUAACUUAAAUAAAGUGUUCCAGAUCAUCCGAAAGCCUAACACACAUGAAGGCCCAUUAAAAUGGGAUAAGCACAAUCACAUGGCACAAUAACCACAGAACCAAGGCAAUGACUUUUGAAGUUGUGACUCGAAAGCAGAUUUUGUUCAGAAUUUGGGGGACAUAUCUUCACUAAAACGGGACGGACCCGCGGGGCAAGCAGGGGCUCCAACCCCCUCCCUAUGCAUAUAUGAGUUGCUAAUGACACCUAUUAAUUUACACACUUUUGUGUU